rnacentral:rRNA from 1 species
GACGAACGCUGGCGGCGUGCCUAAUACAUGCAAGUUGAGCGCUGAAGGUUGGUACUUGUACCGACUGGAUGAGCAGCGAACGGGUGAGUAACGCGUGGGGAAUCUGCCUUUGAGCGGGGGACAACAUUUGGAAACGAAUGCUAAUACCGCAUAAAAACUUUAAACACAAGUUUUAAGUUUGAAAGAUGCAAUUGCAUCACUCAAAGAUGAUCCCGCGUUGUAUUAGCUAGUUGGUGAGGUAAAGGCCCACCAAGGCGAUGAUACAUAGCCGACCUGAGAGGGUGAUCGGCCACAUUGGGACUGAGACACGGCCCAAACUCCUACGGGAGGCAGCAGUAGGGAAUCUUCGGCAAUGGACGGAAGUCUGACCGAGCAACGCCGCGUGAGUGAAGAAGGUUUUCGGAUCGUAAAACUCUGUUGGUAGGGAAGAACGUUGGUGAGAGUGGAAAGCGCAUCAAGUGACGGUAACUACCCAGAAAGGGACGGCUAACUACGUG